rnacentral:pre_miRNA from 14 species
CUGCUAAUGCUAUUCUCGAUAGGAGUCUUUUCUCUGACAGAUUCUUACAUGUUAACAUUAACAG